AUUGAACGCUGGCGGCAGGCCUAACACAUGCAAGUCGAGCGGAGCUGCGGACGGGUGAGUAAUGCCUGGGAAGCUACCUGGUAGUGGGGGAUAACUUCCGGAGACAAGCGCUAAUACCACAUACUAUCAGAUGAGUCUAGGUCGGAUUCGUUAGUUGGUGGGGCAAAGGCGUACCAAGGCGACGAGCUGUAACUGUUCUGAGAGGAUGAACAGUCAGACUGGAACUGAGACACGGUCCAGACUCCUACGGGAGGCAGCAGUGGGGAAUAUUGGACAAUGGGCGAAAGCCUGAUCCAGCAAUGCCGCGUGUGUGAAGAAGGUCUUCGGAUUGUAAAGCUCUUUAAGUUGGGAGGCGUUACCAACAGAAUAAGCACCGGCUAACUUCGUGCCAGCAGCCGCGGUAAUUC
rnacentral:rRNA from 1 species